rnacentral:rRNA from 1 species
AGUGAACGCUGGCGGUAGGCCUAACACAUGCAAGUCGAACGGCAGCACAGUAAGAGCUUGCUCUUACGGGUGGCGAGUGGCGGACGAGUGAGGAAUACAUCGGAAUCUACUUUUUCGUGGGGGAUAACGUAGGGAAACUUACGCUAAUACCGCAUACGACCUACGGGUGAAAGCAGGGGAUCUUCGGACCUUUCGCGAUUGAAUGAGCCGAUGUCGGAUUAGCUAGUUGGCGGGGUAAAGGCCCACCAAGGCGACGAUCCGUAGCUGGUCUGAGAGGAUGAUCAGCCACACUGGAACUGAGACACGGUCCAGACUCCUACGGGAGGCGGCAGUGGGGAAUAUUGGACAAUGGGCGCAAGCCUGAUCCAGCCAUACCGCGUGGGUGAAGAAGGCCUUCGGGUUGUAAAGCCCUUUUGUUGGGAAAGAAAAGCAGCAGGUUAAUACCCCGCUGUUCUGACGGUACCCAAAGAAUAAGCACCGGCUAACUUCGUG